rnacentral:rRNA from 1 species
UACAGAGGGGGCAAGCGUUGUUCGGAAUUACUGGGCGUAAAGGGCGCGUAGGCGGCCUUCUAAGUCGAACGUGAAAUCCCCGGGCUCAACCCGGGAACUGCGUCCGAUACUGGAAGGCUUGAAUCCGGGAGAGGGAUGUGAAAUUCCAGGUGUAGCGGUGAAAUGCGUAGAUAUCUGGAGGAACACCGGUGGCGAAGGCGACAUCCUGGACCGGUAUUGACGCUGAGGCGCGAAAGCCAGGGGAGCAAACGGG